GACGAACGCUGGCGGCGUGCUUAACACAUGCAAGUCGAACGGAAAGGCCUGCUUUCCCUUGUGGAUUGCGGGUACUCGCGUGGCGAACGGGUGAGUAACACGUGAGUGAUCUGCCCCCAACUUGGGUAUAAGCCUGGGAAACUGGGUCUAAUUCCCGAUAGGACUGCAGGGUGGUGCCUGUGGUGGAAAACGAUGUUCUAGUGGUUGGGGAUGAGCUCGCGGCCUAUCAGCUUGUUGGUGGGGUAAUGGCCGACCAAGGCGGCGACGGGUAGCCGGCCUGGGGGAGUGGACGGGCACAGUGGGCCUGCGAUACGGCCCAGACUCCUACGGGAAGCAGCAGUCGGGAAUAUUGCACAAUGGGCGGAAGCCUGAUGCAGCGACGCCGAGUGGGCGAUGACGGCCUUCGGGUUGUAACCUCCUUUCGACCGCGAGGAAGCCACCUGGUUGGAAGGGUGGUGACGGUAGUGGUAGAAGAAGCACCGGCUAACUACGUG
rnacentral:rRNA from 1 species